UACGGAGGGUGCGAGCGUUUGUCCGGAAUCACUGGGCGUAAAGGGCGCGUAGGCGGCGCGGGAAGUCCGUGGUGAAAGCCCGAGGCUCAACUUCGGGUCGGCCAUGGAUACUCCUGGGCUUGAGCACUGUAGAGGCAGGUGGAAUUCCGGGUGUAGCGGUGGAAUGCGUAGAGAUCCGGAAGAACACCGGUGGCGAAGGCGGCCUGCUGGGCUAUGGCUGACACUGAGGCGCGGACAGCGUGGGGAGCAAACAGG
rnacentral:rRNA from 1 species